rnacentral:rRNA from 1 species
AUUGAACGCUGGCGGAAUGCUUUACACAUACAAGUCGAACGGCAGCACGGACUUCGGUCUGGUGGCGAGUGGCGAACGGGUGAGUAACAUAUCGGUACGUAUCCAAUAAUGGGGGAUAACUAAUCGAAAGGUUGGCUAAUACCGCAUACGCCCUACGGGGGAAAGCUAGGGACCUUCGGGCCUGGCGUUAAUGGAGCGGCCGAUAUCUGAUUAGCUAGUUGGUGGGGUAAAGGCCCACCAAGGCGACGAUCAGUAGCUGGUCUGAGAGGACGACCAGCCACACUGGAACUGAGACACGGUCCAGACUCCUACGGGAGGCAGCAGUGGGGAAUUUUGGACAAUGGGCGAAAGCCUGAUCCAGCCAUUCCGCGUGCAGGAUGAAGGCCCUCGGGUUGUAAACUGCUUUUGUACAGAACGAAAAGGUUUCUACUAAUACUAGGAGCUCAUGACGGUACUGUAAGAAUAAGCACCGGCUAACUACGUGCCAGCCGCCGCUGUAA